UUGUUGUUUUCUCUUGUAAUGUCCUGUUCCUUUUUCCAGCAUCUCUGGCUUCCAGCAUUGCAUCUGGAGUGAUUUCAGGGUUGUUCCUACUUUUGCUGAUCCCUGCCAUCCUCUACCUGGUGAAGAAAAAGAGUUUGAUGUCAGACAGUGGGUCACCUGAUGAAGAUGAGAUCAUCUAUAUGUGUGCAGUCAUGCCUGCUGACCAGGGGGAUCAUGGUAAAGACACUGGUGGAGAUCUGGAAGAAGACUA